rnacentral:lncRNA from 1 species
ACAGCGACAUCUGUAACCAUCUGGUAGUGGGCCGUUCAGAGCCGUGUGGAGUUUGUUACGGAGAGUAGUGGCGUCAGAGGUCGUUCAGGGCCACGUGGAGCUUGUUGCGGAGAGUGGAGUGGUGUCCGUUGUCGUGACUUGCCAGAGAGUGGUGGAGAGAGUGGAGCAGGGUGGCGGUUCUUGUCGUGGCUUGUCAGAGAGUGGUGGAGCCGCAUGGAAUCCAUUGUAGCGAAUGGAGUAAGGUAGUGGCCCUUGUCGUGGCUUGCCAGAGAGCUUGGAUCCAUCGGCUGAAGCUCGGUUGGGAUGCCUGAUAGAGCA